ACCUGUUACCAAUCCUGAAGACGAACUAUCCGUGGUCGGCUUUGCAGAGGGUGUGGGUGUCAUCUUCGUUUGCUCAGGUGCUGGCUUGUUCAUGAUCAAGCUCAGUUCUGGGCAGGUUAAGAAGGUUGAUGAGCCCGGAGAAUACUUUAGCGUGCUGCCCUACAUGAGCUUCUACCUUCCAAGCAAUAGUGGUGGACAUGAUGCAACUGAUCUUCCGCACAAUACUUAAGAGGACUUUCUGUCGUGAUGUACUGGUUAGGCAGGUAUCUACUACAAUAACAUUCUGGUGGCUGGGAUGCAGAAAUGGGCUGUUGGGUAAUUUCUUCCAUUUGUAUGCUCGACGCGGAGAUCGGCCCUCUAUGUAGCUUUCAAGUGCACU